rnacentral:lncRNA from 1 species
UCGAGAUAAAUUUUCAAUACAUUACACCCUUUUUGUUUAAAAAGGAUGCGGAAGUGCCCAAUUUUUUUUUUUUUUAAAGCCUUGACCCCAAGGGAUGUCAGAUUCGCCACAAAUAUAGGGAGCCCACUGUUCACACGGACAGAGUCUCCUCUGUAUUUACACGGCGUCGCACAAGUAUAAGAUACAACCACAAACAUAUGAACAUUCAUAUACAUUACCACAUCACAUUCCACAUUCAUUUCAUCACCGAUAUACAAAAAUUCACAUCUAUUAGUUUAAAAUAUUUCCUACCUGAAAACUCAUUUUGAAAUACUAAGAAUCAUGAAAACCUUUUUAAAAACUGUUUCUCACACAAAAACCUUUUCCUUUAAAACGCUAUCAUGAGGGGUAGAAAACCGUUUUUAUUUCAUAAGAAAACCAUAAUCACAUUAUUUAUUUCACAAAACC